UAAAACGACAGGAGGACAGUGUUUGACAUUGUUGAAAAGCAAAGAAAAAGAAUUGAUUCCAGAACAUGCCGUCCUGUGUUUGUUGUUUUCGACAGUUGAGAGUCCGGUGCAUGCCAGAUACUAUCUAUUGAUUUCAAACACUAGUGAGAAAUAUCUGCAGAAGGAAGAACCAAGUAUGAUAAAGCCACGACAGACCUGGCACAAGCAUACAGCAUGACACCACUACAGCCGCCCUGACACAAGCAUAGUUAAACAAAUUAGACAUUAGCUAACAUGUAUAUAAUUAUACCCCAACGUACAAAGUAUAUUGGGCUAUAUUGGAGUCACGCAUGUCCAGUCCGUCCGUCCGCCCGUUCAUCUGUCCACCAUGGCCGCUGGGAUGAUCUUCAUAAAACCAUAUCAAGACGAUGUACGAGCGCUCAACCCAGGUCACAAGACCCAAGGUCUCGUGGAGGUCAAACGUCAAAUAGCUUAACUUCAUGUCCGCUCUAUAUUGUCCAAACGGCUUUGAAAAUAUUUAGCUCGACUGUUCGAAGAAUAAGGAGGAUUACUGUACUUGUCUUGGCGUCUGUGUCACUGUCACCGUUGCAUUGAAAGUUAAAAUUUUAGGACAAGCUUCUCAGUGUGACUAUAAUAUUUUAACUACUGCCCUUAUUAACAUCAACCUUCAUAUAAGUGUUGGUCUUGGUAAGGGAAAGACAUCUACAUGUAUUAGUUGAGGAACAGGUAUCCUAAAUGUCGAAGUCACUGGCUUAAAUAUUGUGAUAGUGCUGGUUAAAGUUUCAUGAUAAACUUCUCAAUCUCACAAUAUAACCUCACAUAAAGAUUGAUCUUACAACGUGGCAGAAAUCUUUUUGUUUAGGGUCAGGUUGCUCAAAGAUCAGGGUCGGGUUGCUCAAAGAUCAAGGUCAGGUUGCUCAAAGGUCAAGGUCAUGUUGCUUAAAGAUCAAGGUCAGGUUGCUCAAUGAUCAGGGUCAGGUUGCUCAAAGAUCAGGGUCAGGGUUGCUCAAAGAUCAGGGUCAGGUUGCUCAAAGGUCAAGAUCAAGUUGCUCAAAGAUCAAGGUUACUGGGGUCAGAUUUUGUAACAGUGUUGGUUAAAGUCUUAAGGCACAUUUCUCAAUUUGACUUAAAUUUCAUAAUGUUUCUUUUAGAACUGGUAUCCCUCAUGCUCUACCCUUUUUAGCUAUACCUACACAUCUUCUACCUUCAUCCCGAUACCCACCCAAAAAUGCAUUCCUUACAAAAACUUAUAUUUCAUGUUUCCAUCAACUCCCCUACUCUGUUGUCUUCACCUACCUCCUCCACCCCAUUUCACCGAACCUAUACCCUCGCCCAUACCCCUCCCCCUCCCCC
rnacentral:lncRNA from 1 species